rnacentral:rRNA from 1 species
UACGGGGGGGGCAAGCGUUGUUCGGAAUUACUGGGCGUAAAGGGCUCGUAGGCGGCCAACUAAGUCAGACGUGAAAUCCCUCGGCUUAACCGGGGAACUGCGUCUGAUACUGGAUGGCUUGAGUUUGGGAGAGGGAUGCGGAAUUCCAGGUGUAGCGGUGAAGUGCGUAGAUAUCUGGAGGAACACCGGUGGCGAAGGCGGCAUCCUGGACCGGUAUUGACGCUGAGGCGCGAAAGCCAGGGGAGCAAACGGG